UACAGAGGUCUCAAGCGUUGUUCGGAUUCAUUGGGCGUAAAGGGUGCGUAGACGGCGCGGUAAGUCGGGUGUGAAAUCCUGGAGCUCAACUCCAGAACUGCCUUUGAUACUGGCGAUCUCGAGUCCGGGAGAGGUGAGUGGAACUGCGAGUGUAGAGGUGAAAUUCGUAGAUAUUCGCAAGAACACCAGUGGCGAAGGCGGCUCACUGGCCCGGUACUGACGCUGAGGUGCGAAAGCGUGGGGAGCAAACAGG
rnacentral:rRNA from 1 species